GCCUCUGUGGCGCAAUUUGGCUAGCGCGUUCGGCUGUUAACCGGAAGGCUGGUGGUUCAAGCCCACCCAGGGGCG
rnacentral:tRNA from 1 species